UUUUUGCAAAUUAAAACCCCAA
rnacentral:miRNA from 1 species